rnacentral:rRNA from 1 species
CAGCAGCAGCCACGGGAAUACGUAGGGUGCAAGCGUUAAUCGGAAUUACUGGGCGUAAAGCGUGCGCAGGCGGUGUUGUAAGACUGAUGUGAAAUCCCCGGGCUCAACCUGGGAACUGCAUUGGUGACUGCAACGCUGGAGUGCGGCAGAGGGGGAUGGAAUUCCGCGUGUAGCAGUGAAAUGCGUAGAUAUGCGGAGGAACACCGAUGGCGAAGGCAAUCCCCUGGGCCUGCACUGACGCUCAUGCACGAAAGCGUGGGGAGCAAACAGGAUUAGAUACCCCCGUAGUCCCUGUCUCUUAUAC